UGCCAUAUCUUCGUCUAGGUUUAUUAAAGGUUUUUAAUGAUUUCAUUGGUUUUGGUGGACCACUGCUUCUGAAUAAGCUAAUUCGGUUUCUUCAAAAAGGUUCUGGAAAUUUGGAUGGCUAUGUUCUUGCAAUAUCGUUAGGCCUAGUAUCAGUUCUCAAGUGAGCUUUU